rnacentral:rRNA from 1 species
GGACCCGCACAAGCGGUGGAGCAUGUGGUUUAAUUCGAAGCAACGCGAAGAACCUUACCAAGUCUUGACAUCCCUCUGACCGGCCCGUAACGGGGCCUUCCCUACGGGGCAGAGGAGACAGGUGGUGCAUGGUUGUCGUCAGCUCGUGUCGUGAGAUGUUGGGUUAAGUCCCGCAACGAGCGCAACCCUUAUCCUUAGUAGCCAGCAGGUAGAGCUGGGCACUCUAGGGAGACUGCCAGGGACAACCUGGAGGAAGGUGGGGAUGACGUCAAAUCAUCAUGCCCCUUAUGAUUUGGGCUACACACGUGCUACAAUGGCGUAAACAAAGGGAAGCGAGAGGGCGACCUUUAGCGAAUCUCAAAAAUAACGUCCCAGUUCGGACUGUAGUCUGCAACCCGACUACACGAAGCUGGAAUCGCUAGUAAUCGCGAAUCAGAAUGUCGCGGUGAAUACGUUCCCGGGUCUU